CUACGGGUGGCACCAGUGAGGAAUAUUGCACAAUGGGGGGAACCCUGAUGCAGCAACGCCGCGUGGAGGAUGACGCAUUUCGGUGUGUAAACUCCUUUUAUAUGUCAAGAAAAUGACGGUAGCAUAUGAAUAAGCACCGGCUAACUCCGUGCCAGCGAGCCGCGGUAAUACGGAGGGUGCAAGCGUUACUCGGAAUCACUGGGCGUAAAGGACGCGUAGGCGGGUUGGAAAGUCAGGUGUGAAAUCCUACAGCUUAACUGUAGAACUGCACUUGAAACUUCUAAUCUAGAGUAUGGGAGGGGGAGAUGGAAUUAGUGGUGUAGGGGUAAAAUCCGUAGAUAUCACUAGGAAUACCUAAAGCGAAGGCGAUCUCCUGGAACAUUACUGACGCUAAGGCGUGAAAGCGUGGGGAGCAAACAGGAUUAGAUACCCCUGUAGUC
rnacentral:rRNA from 1 species